rnacentral:rRNA from 1 species
UGGGGAAUAUUGGACAAUGGGCGCAAGCCUGAUCCAGCCAUGCCGCGUGAGUGAUGAAGGCCCUAGGGUUGUAAAGCUCUUUCACCGGUGAAGAUAAUGACGGUAACCGGAGAAGAAGCUCCGGCUAACUUCGUGCCAGCAGCCGCGGUAAUACGAAGGGGGCUAGCGUUGUUCGGAUUUACUUGGCGUAAAGCGCACGUAGGCGGACUAUUAAGUCAGGGGUGAAAUCCCGGGGCUCAACCCCGGAACUGCCUUUGAUACUGGUAGUCUUGAGUUCGAGAGAGGUGGGUGGAAUUCCGAGUGUAGAGGUGAAAUUCGUAGAUAUUCGGAGGAACACCAGUGGCGAAGGCGGCUCACUGGCUCGAUACUGACGCUGAGGUGCGAAAGCGUGGGGAGCAAACAGG